UUGGCGAGCAAAUGAUUUUAUUAGAAGCCACUUACAGAGGCAGGCAGCCAAAUGGGAGGCUGCACUACCAGAGUUGUCACCCACCCCCUUCCAAGCUUCUGCUUAUGUAGGGCUCUCAGUUAUGCAGGAAAGACAAGAACCAGAACCCUUGUACAUACUCUGUUCCCAUCCUUGUCGAGAACUCUGCUGUUCUCAGCAGAGUGAUGCGUGGUCUUCUGCUGCAGUCUGGCACAGCCUGUGCACCCGGUGAGGCCCCCUCAGGACAGCUGUUUGAGUGGUGGCCCCCUGCCAAAUGAUGUUACCUUGGCUAGAGCUCAGAGUUACAGGAUGUGAUCCCAGGAGGUCCUGCCCAGGAGGAGAUGGGGACCUCAGUGUGGCCCAGGCAGGUACUGUGACCUUUGUGUCUAGAUGCUCCCCCACUGAAGCCGCUAUCACAGGUGGGGCUUUUGUAAAUGGAUUGGAUUUUGGGGCUAUAAGUGACUUGUUAGGAGGUGGAGUCUAGGUAGUUGGAAGAGGGGGCUCCGUGUGGGCCUGACCCAGAAGGGUGUGUCUCCCUUUCUGGCUCUUCCCUUGACUGCUUCCUGGGUGCUGUGAGAUAGAUGAGCAGUUUUUCUCCACUAUGCCCCUGUGCCAUGCUGUCCUGCCUUCAAGCCAUCAGACUCCAUAGUCCUCUGAAACCUCAACUAAGCCAAAUUAAACCUCCUUUAAGUUGUGGGUGUUGAGUGUUUUUGUCCCAGCAACAAAGAAGGUGACAGAACAAAGACAUUUCAGGAUGUGUCGGAGGCACAGGCUGAUUUACUGAGCAGAGUUAGGGAAAAUAGGGAGAGGACUGCAGCCUAAGGAAGAGAAGGGGACACAGCUCUGGUGAGAUGACACUACCCUGGCAACAAAUGGAAGGAACUGCUUUUAAGUUGGGAUAGGCUAAGGUCUGGUUCACCAUUACUUCAGUUCUGGUUUUGCUGGAUGACUCCGAAGUCUUAAUUCUUGAUGGGCGAUUCCAUCUCCUUGAGAUGACCGUUUCUGCAUGCGGCAGCCUUAGUUUUUGGGAGGCUCCUGCUGGAACCCAAGGUGAACUUACUUAGGUUUAGGGCAAUGACUAGAGACAUGUGGGUGGUGCUCACUGGUAAUUUAAUGUUCCUGUAAAUCUCUUAGUGUCAGUCUUGAAGGGGGAUGAACAUAAGUCUUGUAAAUUAAGGGUUGAUCAACCUCCCAUUGCGUUUUUAGACAUCCUCCCUAAGUGAUUUAACAUGCCUGUAUCUUGAGCAGGGCUGUGAUCAAGUUUUAAGGUAAUAAAGGAAACAUAUAAAGUGAAGGUCAAACUUUGUUCUGGUUUUAGUUAUGUAUUGGGCAUCUGUAGGCCCAAAUGAAGUCACUAUUUUUAGCAAAGUGUUAGUCCCUGGCUGCCUCAGAAGAAAACACAAAUCAAGCCUGUAAUGAGUAACGGUACGGGCUCCGGAGCUCACUUCCCUUCGCCCCCACGGUGGUCUGUCUCAGGAGUAGUCGUCUCCCUACAGACACACUGAGCUCCUUCCAGAGCUUCCGGGUGAUCGGCAGCUUCACAGGUACACACAUUUUAGCCGUUCACUUCCAAUUUAUGGCCCUCCGCGUGAGUAUCUUCAGGGGGAAUUUGGAGGUGAGCUGGUUUUCCGGCCUCCGAUGGGCAGGGAUGGACGGGCCUCGCAGGGGCACGCCGCUGGGUGUGACGAGCGCUAGCGCCCGGCUUCCCGAGGAACAGCUGGUGCUGGAAGGCGACCGGGAAGGUCCCACUGCUCCCGGCGACAGCGUCCCUGGGGGCGGUCGGCGGCCGGCGGCCGGCGGAAAGCGCGCCCGAGCGAAGCUGGUCGAAGUGUCAGGCGAGCGGGACGCCUGCGCGCGCCCUGACUUCAAACUCAGCUCGAGCUGUCACCGCCAAUCGGCGGCCCCCGCUCGCACCGCCCUUCGCGCUGCCCAAUCGGAGGCCCACACUGAGGCCCCGCUCCACAGCCCUGC
rnacentral:lncRNA from 1 species